UGGGGAAUAUUGCACAAUGGGCGCAAGCCUGAUGCAGCCAUGCCGCGUGUAUGAAGAAGGCCUUCGGGUUGUAAAGUACUUUCAGCGGGGAGGAAGGCGAUAAGGUUAAUAACCUUGUCGAUUGACGUUACCCGCAGAAGAAGCACCGGCUAACUCCGUGCCAGCAGCCGCGGUAAUGCGGAGGGUGCAAGCGUUAAUCGGAAUUACUGGGCGUAAAGCGCACGCAGGCGGUCUGUCAAGUCGGAUGUGAAAUCCCCGGGCUCAACCUGGGAACUGCAUUCGAAACUGGCAGGCUAGAGUCUUGUAGAGGGGGGUAGAAUUCCAGGUGUAGCGGUGAAAUGCGUAGAGAUCUGGAGGAAUACCGGUGGCGAAGGCGGCCCCCUGGACAAAGACUGACGCUCAGGUGCGAAAGCGUGGGGAGCAAACA
rnacentral:rRNA from 1 species